GACCCACUUGGCUACCCACUCAAAGCUGCAACGGAAAAGGCUCUCCGACGACGAAAACCCUGCCCGCGUUGUCGCGUGCGCUUUGUUGGCGUCUUUAUUUUGUCCGAUUCGAUCGUGAGCCGCGUUGCCACAAGCCCCUUUUGACUCCUGAUGAAAGCGCGCAACCCGACUGCCGACUGGCCCGCCCCCCGGGCUCCACGUGCACCACCGUCAGUGAGCCGUCCUGCCGGCGGCAGCAUGCUGAGCUCGACACCGUCUUCUUCUCAGUCAAACGGUCGCCACGUCCCUCUCCGCCGCGUCGUGCACCUCCCUGCUCACCUGGAAGGUCUGGGUAUUGUACCCCGACGACGACCACGUGUAGGGGUAGUUGGACGAGGAGGUGACGCCCGAGCUGGUGACCCCGCUGCGCGACAUGGACGACGCCUGCGUCGCGUCCUCCUCCCCGUCGGCGAGCGGCGCGGGCCACAUGAACACCGGCUUGGACAUGGGCACGGGGAGCGGCGGCACGGACCGCGUCUGCAGGUUCUGCAGGAUGGCCUGCGCCUUGGGCCGCUGCCGCGGGUUGGGGUGGCUGCACGCCAGGCCCAGCAGCAGCAGCCGCUCGGCCUCCUCGCCGUCGUACCCGUACCCGCCGGCGGCGAGGCGCGGGUCCACGGCCUCCAGGAGGCGCCCGGCGC
rnacentral:misc_RNA from 1 species